rnacentral:rRNA from 1 species
CAAUCCGGCUAUUAAGAAACCGUGGUAGUCCACACAGUAAACGAUGAAUACUCGCUGUGGCGAUCAAGGUCAGCGGCCAAGGGAAAGCAUUAAGUAUCCCNCUGGGGAGUACGCCGGCAACGGUGAACUUCAAAGGAAUUGACGGGGGCCCGCACAAGCGGAGGAACAUGUGGUUUAAUUCGAUGAUACGCGAGGAACCUUACCCGGGCUUAAAUUGCAACUGACGGACUUGGAAACAGGUCUUUCUUCGGACAGUUGUGAAGGUGCUGCAUGGUUGUCGUCAGCUCGUGCCGUGAGGUGUCGGCUUAAGUGCCAUAACGAGCGCAACCUUUACCGACAGUUACCAUCAGGUAACGCUGGGGACUCUGUCGGGACUGCCGUCGUAAGAUGUGAGGAAGGUGGGGAUGACGUCAAAUCAGCACGGCCCUUACGUCCGGGGCUACACACGUGUUACAAUGGGGGGUACAGAAGGCAGCUACACGGCGACGUGAUGCUAAUCCCAAAAGCCUCUCUCAGUUCGGAUUGGAGUCUGCAACCCGACUCCAUGAAGCUGGAUUCGCUAGUAAUCGCGCAUCAGCCACGGCGCGGUGAAUACGUUCCCGGGCCUUGUACACACCGCCCGUCAAGCCAUGAAAGCCGGGGGUACCUGAAGUGCGUAACCGCAAGGAGCGCCCUAGGGUAAAACUGGUGAUUGGGGCUAAGUCGAACAAGG